UGUGAGUAUUUAUAUCCCAUAUAUAUAUAUCUAUAUGUCUCUCUCUAUAUGAUAUGUAUGUACAUUCAUAUGUGAUUAUUUAUAUCCCUUAUACAUAUCUCUGUCUCUCUUCUCUCUCUUUAGUCUCCUUAUUUUUUCAGAUUUUUUAAAAAUUAAUUUAUUCACAUUAAUUUUAAGUCUUAAAAUUAAUGUGAAUAAAAUAAUGUGAGCGCACUCUUUUAAACCCACUUUCUAAAACCCACUUUAGAAACUUUUAAACUCACAUUUUAAAUGGGUUCUUGCAGGAAAUUUCAGGCAGAGCCAAGCCUUCAGGAGUUGGGAAGCACCUGAGCUCUGGCUGCAGCAGAUUUGGCCUCUGGAGUGGAAGCUGCGAUGGCUUUGAGCAACCACACCAACAGCAGCUCCGUGCUGCCCAAUCUGCUCCACAUGGAACAGAAGAAGACCCUGAGGUUCAACAACUACAGCAACCCUGCCCUGGAGCUGCAGGAGGAGAUCAUGGCCUCCUUCUACAUCCUCAUCAUCGUCGGCUUCUUCGGCUUCCUGCUCUUUGUCAUGAUGCUCAGCAACAUCGUUUCCAGCAAGCCCGAGAACUACAUGGACUACCUGUACUCGGGCAAGCUGAGCCCACCCCGGGGCCAGCUGGAGCUGCCCCAGACCCUCAGCAAGGACACCAGGGACACCAGGGACACCAGGGACACCUUUGUCAUCAUCAACAGCGCUGCCUUCCUGGGCCUGCAGGGGCAGGAGGGCACAGAGCAGCCCGGGACCGAGGGGCUGAGCACAAACUCGGUCCUCAGGGAUGUGUGAAAAUGGGUUUGUUUUUUCAUUUUCCUUCUGUUCAGCCUACCCAGGGAUCAUUUUCCUCCUUGGGGAGGCUUCCCACGUGCUGCUCUGAAGGCCCUGGAGGGGAAGCUGUGUUAUUCCUGCUCCAGGCUGUUGGAUGAGGGGCUGGAGGUGAAUUCCCUCUUGGCUGCUCUUCCAUGGCUGUUCCUGCUGUGUUUCCAUGGCUUGGCUCUCAGGAGAAGGGAUCACCCUUCCUUUGCUGCUGCCUCCAGCUGGGACAGUGUGUCUGUGCCUGCUUCCUGGUAUUCCUGAUUCCCUAAUUUAUUUGGGGGCUGCCACUGACUGUGCCAGCAGGAACAGCCUCAGAUGAUGGGAAAGGGUUGAGGAUCUGUGUCCAGCUCUUCCACAAGGAAUGGAGGUUAUUCCAAGGAUCUGGAGGCACGUGCUGGACUUGGACUUGUUUGGUGUGCAGCAGGUUUUGGACAGUGGUCGUGCAUUUCUCAGCAGCUCUUCCACACUUGGCUGCCCUAGACCAGGAGGAGCAGGACAUCCCAUUCCCAAGGGCUUGGAGACAGGACAAUGGGAAUGGCUCCCAGUGCCAGAGGGCAGGGCUGGAUGGGACCUUGGCAGUGAGGAAUUGUUCCCUGGCAGGGUGGGCAGGGCUGGGAUGGAAUUCCCAGAGCAGCUGGGGCUGCCCCUGGAUCCCUGGCAGUGCCCAAGGCCAGGCUGGACACUGGGGCUGGAGCAGCCUGGCACAGUGGGAGGUGUCCCUGCCAUGGCACGGCUGGCACUGGGUGGGAUUUGAGGUCCCUCCCAACCCAAACCAUUCCAUGCUCCUGAUGUCCCUCCCAGAGCAGCCCUGGGCAGCCUCAGGGCUGGCAGUUCUCAGCUGGAGCCCUGGGGGAUGUGCCAGUGCUGUGCCAUCGAUCCCAAACAAUUCCUACAGGGUUUGGUGCCAGCCCUCUCCUCAGGGAAUCCCGGAGAGCUGCUGCUGCUCCCCAGGGGGGUCACAGGAUCCAAGGGGGGGCUGCAGUUCUGGGGUGUCUCCUGCAGCUCCCCACGGGGCUCAGGAGUGCUCAGCCUGUGCCCUGCAGAGCCCUGGAAUCCAGGGUGGCAGAUGUGGAGAGCCAAACCCUGGCAGAGGGUUCCAGCUUGGGCACUUGGUCCAAGAAUUCAUUGGCAAAAGCUCUGGAGUCUGCAAAUCCAAAUGGUUGGGAACCAGUGGGGCAGAUACUGUGAGAACCUUGAGGCAUUUGGUUAUAGGAGUAAAAAUCCAAUGAAAUCCUGUGAAAUGGUGAGUCUGAAUGCUGGGGGUUCCUCUCAGCCUCCUUUAUGUUCCUCUGUGUGUUUGCUCCUUGUUACUGACAGGAAGAGAAUUCCCAACAAUUUUCUAGGGAGCAUGGUUUCCUAAUUCUCCUUCCACAGGUUUUUACUGCCUGGAACUUCACAUUUUACUGCUGUGAUGUUUCUCUCUCCCAGAUUUUCCUGUAUCCUUUUCUGCCACGAUAAAGUGUUGCUAUUAUGGGAUUUUUGCCACUGUUUGGGCCAAUCCAACUGCCUGGAAUUGAUUUAUUCCAUGUGGGAACUCCUUAAAGGGAGUUUUCAGAGCCUGAUCUCCUCAGAACUGUUCCAAGGCUGCUGCUUCCAGCUGAUAUCCAAGCUGAAAUCCAAACCACUCUCUUGGCUUUCCACACUUGUCCUUGGAAUUCCAGAGGUUCAGCUUUCCAGCAGAGACCUCUCCUUUUUUGGGCAGGUGCAAAUUCCCAGCCACUGGCUCCAGCAGGGGCCAAUUAGGGAUUGGAGCUGGUUUUGGAUCCUGUUCCUUUGGCUGCCCCGAGGUGUCCCCAACUCCAGCUCCCAGCAGCCACAUUCCCAUUGCUGCUGCUCAGCUGGAAAAGGGAGAUGUUUAAAGGGAGGAACAACACUUGCACUUCCAGGUCUGUUCCUUCUCCCCAGUGGGGCGGUUUUCCAGAAGGGGACAGCUGGAAACAUCCAAAAUUGGAUCCAAUUUCUGCCGUGCCAGCACCGAGAGAAGAUUCCAGCCUGACUUCCAGCAGCUCGGAGAAUUCCUGCUUUGCACACCCAGCUUCUCCAUUUUUCCAUGCAAUAGCAUCAGGAAGCAGAGUUGGAUGUACCUCAUUCCAUGGGGAGAUCCAGGUUUUGGAGGUGCCUCAUUCCAUGGGGAGAUCCAGGCUUUGGAGGUGCCUCAUUCCAUGGGGAGAUCCAGGUUUUGGAGGUGCCUCAUUCCAUGGGGAGAUCCAGGUUUCAGUGGUGCCUCAUUCCAUGGGGAGAUCCAGGUUUUGGAGGUGCCUCAUUCCAUGGGAGAUCCAGGUUUCAGAGGUGCCUCAUUCCAUGAGGAGAUCCAGGUUUUGGAGGUGCCUCAUUCCAUGGGGAGAUCCAGGUUUUGGAGGUGCCUCAUUCCAUGGGAGAUCCAGGUUUUGGAGGUGCCUCAUUCCAUGAGGAGAUCCAGGUUUUGGAGGUGCCUCAUUCCAUGAGGAGAUCCAGGUUUUGGAGGUGCCUCAUUCCAUGGGGAGAUCCAGGUUUUGGAGGUGCCUCAUUCCAUGGGAGAUCCAGGUUUUGGAGGUGCCUCAUUCCAUGGGGAGAUCCAGGUUUUGGAGGUGCCUCAUUCCAUGGGGAGAUCCAGGUUUUGGAGGUGCCUCAUUCCAUGGGGAGAUCCAGGUUUUGGAGGUGCCUCAUUCCAUGGGGAGAUCCAGGUUUUGGAGGUGCCUCAUUCCAUGGGGAGAUCCAGGUUUUGGAGGUGCCUCAUUCCAUGGGGAGAUCCAGGUUUUGGAGGUGCCUCAUUCCAUGGGGAGAUCCAGGUUUUGGAGGUGCCUCAUUCCAUGGGGAGAUCCAGGUUUUGGAGGUGCCUCAUUCCAUGGGGAGAUCCAGGUUUUGGAGGUGCCUCAUUCCAUGGGGAGAUCCAGGUUUUGGAGGUGCCUCAUUCCAUGGGGAGAUCCAGGUUUUGGAGGUGCCUCAUUCCAUGGGGAGAUCCAGGUUUCAGCCUCCAUCACCCACUCCAGAUUUUGGGCAGGGAUUUCACCUCCUGCACUGGUGGCUGCUGCAGGGAAGGGCCAGGCUGGGAGCUGAAUUCCACAGGGAAGGGCAAACUGAGCUUCCAACAGCAAAUUCCCUGCUGAGGGAUGACAGAACUCUGAUGUUCCCCUGGGAAUGAGCCCAUUCCUCUCACACCUCACCACCUCCUGCAGGUGGCUGAGGUGGCUCCUUCCCUCUGCACUGGGGGCUCCACAUCCCAAAAGGAGAGAGGAAAAUCAAAUUCUGAGCACUCAGGAUCUGGUUGGUGGCUUUGUCCCUUUCCCAACCACUCUGUCCCUCCCCCCUGGAGCUUUUUUUCCCUCCUGGCUUUUCCCUCCCCACCCCAGGGAGAUGCAGCUGAUAAAAGCACACUGAUAAAAGCUCCAGCUCCUGAAGAAAUCCCCAUCCUAGAGUCCAGUGUUCACUAUUUCCACCUGGAAUCCUGGCUGGGAUGAAGCCAUGAGGGGAGGGGGAUGAACUCAGCCUUGGCUGAGAAUUCCUAGUGGCCCACCCCAAACUCCAUCAGUUUUCACAAAGCCUCUCCCUGGUUCAGCAGGAAACCCCCAGCUCUUGCACUGGCUCUGCUCUGAGCAGCAGAAGGCUCUUGAUUUCAUUUUUGUCUUGAUUUAUUUUCUCAAUUUCCCACCUUGUUGUGUUUCCAUCCUGAGGCCGUCUUUGGUUUGGGCAAGUUUGUCUCUCUUGGUUCCAGCAGAGCUGAAAUUACCCAUUUUUGGGAAGGAUUUUUGGCACCAGAAAUGCAACCUUGGGGUGGGACUUCAGCUCAUGCUCAGGAAUCCAUCAGCCAGCGGGAAGGAAAAGAGAUUAUUUAAAUUGGGGAGGGUGUGGGUUAGAAAAAGAAUCCUGAUCUUUGUUACUUUGUGUAAGUCUGGGAGAGAACCAAAUUCCCUGUGGAGAGCUGGUUUUGGAAAAAAAAAAAAAAAAGAAACCUACAAGACAUUUAAUUUAGAUAAAAAUAAAAUAUUAAGUUUCAAACUUAAUUUUAGCUGUAAUAUAAUACAGCAGUAAAAAGAAAA